CAGCCAGUCAACAACUAACCACUUCCUCUUCUGUUGUACCUCCUCCACAAAUACAUGUAAAAGAUGAUGGUAAAGUUUCACUCUGUCUUUAUUUGAUGGUCAUCAUGUUCUGUUUAAACCAAGCAGCUCUGCUCUCUGUUCAACUCUUACUCAUUGUCCAUGUUCAUGCAGUGUUGGGGAAAGGUCCAGAGGAUCUCAGGAAUACACUGGUGUCCAGAGGAGACUCCGUCAUACUCACCUGCAACAUAUCGAUAAAUAAUGGAACACAAAUCAGCUGGAACAAAGACAGAUUUUAUUUCUCUUAUUUAGUCUCAACAAAUCAAAAUGUUUCCAAUUUCACCUCAGACAGAUUCAGAAUAGACGUUAAUUUAACCACAACACUGAAUAUAUUUAAUGUUCAGCAUGAAGACGCUGGACUUUAUACAUGUAAUGUAACUGAUAUAGAUGGUGU
rnacentral:lncRNA from 1 species